CCUACGGGAGCCAGCAGUGGGGAAUUUUCCGCAAUGGGCGAAACCCUGACGGAGCAAUACCGCGUGAGGGAGGACGGCCUAUGGGUUGUAACCCUCUUUUUUCAGGGAGGAAUCAAUGACGUGUACCUGAAGAAUAAGCAUCGGCUAACUCCGUGCCAGCAGCCGCGGUAAGACGGAGGAUGCAAGUGUUAUCCGGAAUCACUGGGCGUAAAGCGUCUGUAGGUGGUCCAAUAAGUCAACUGUUAAAUCUUGAGGCUCAACCUCAAAAUCGCAGUCGAAACUAUUAGACUAGAGUAUAGUAGGGGUAAAGGGAAUUUCCAGUGGAGCGGUGAAAUGCGUAGAGAUUGGAAAGAACACCGAUGGCGAAGGCACUUUACUGGGCUAUUACUAACACUCAGAGACGAAAGCUAGGGUAGCAAAUGGGAUUAGAUACCCCAGUAGUCCUACCCGUCUCCAAUGAUACUAGAUGUUGAACAGAUCGACCUGCGCAGUAUCAAAGCUAACGCGUUAAGU
rnacentral:rRNA from 1 species